GUGAGUCAUCGAAUCUUUGAACGCACAUUGCACCUUCUGGUAUUCUGGGAGGUAUGCCUGUUCGAGCGUCAUUGCAACCAUCAAGCCUAGGCUUGGUAUUGGAUGCCACCGCUUGGUGCAUCUCAAAAUUAGCUGCAGUGCCAUUCAGCUUCAAGCGUAGUAAAUUUCUCGCUCCUGGAGUUUGUGUUGUACCUGCUAGAACCCCCUAAUUUAUCAAGGUUUGACCUCGGAUCAGGUAGGGAUACCCGCUGAACUUAAGCAUAUCAAUAAGCGGAGGA
rnacentral:misc_RNA from 1 species